rfam:Candidatus Falkowbacteria bacterium RIFOXYD2_FTLL_34_120 rifoxyd2_full_scaffold_137, whole genome shotgun sequence.
GGGAAAAUCUCGUUAAGAGUAUAUGGUGGAUGCCUUGACAUAAGAAGACGAUGAAGGACGUAGCAGCCUGCGAUAAGCCUCGGUUAGGUGGCAAGCAACCUUUGAUCCGUGGAUUUCCGAAUGGGGAAACCUGUCUCGUUGAAGACGAGACGUCCGCUAUCUGAAUAUAUAGGAUAGUGAGACGAAAACCCGGUGAAUUGAAACAUCUUAGUAGCCGGAGGAAAAGAAAACAAUUGUUUAUUCCCUUAGUAGUGGCGAGCGAAAAGGGAUCAGCCAAAACUUUUUAAACCAAGUGUGAUGGAUUUUCACGCAAGUGAAUUGAAAUUAUAUCGAAGGAUCUGGGUCCAUAUGUUUAUUAAGCGUUGUAAGACAUUGCGUUUACUCCCUAGAUGAGUAAGGUAGAGAUAUAAAUUAUAACUUCCCUAGUUGAAGCGAGCUGGAAAGCUCCGCCAGAGAAGGUGACAGCCCUGUAAGGCGAAAGGGGUUAUUGCUCUACGGUAAUUGUUCUUUAGUACUGCGGAACUCGUGAAAUUCCGCAGGAAUCCGGGUCGACUAUGAUCCAAGGCUAAAUACUUCUUAUGAUCGAUAGUGAACCAGUACCGUGAGGGAAAGGUGAAAAGCAUCCCGGUGAGGGAGGUGAAAUAGUACCUGAAACCAUAUACUUACAAAGAGUCGGAGUCCCCUUCGGGGGAUGACGGCGUGCCUAUUGAAGAAUGAGCCAACGAGUUUGUUCUAUGUGGCUUGACUAAAUUCCAUUUGGAAUGAAGUCGUAGUGAAAGCGAGGGUUAAUAGCCCGUAUCCACUUAUUUUGUUGAAACAUGUUAUGUUCAUGUCUCAACAAAAUAUUUGGAGUGUCGCAUGGACAAGACCCGAAGCCGGGUGAUCUAGCCAUGGCCAGGUUGAAGUGGUGAGAAAUCAUCAUGGAGGACCGAACCCACUAGUCGUGCAAUACUAGGGGAUGAGCUGUGGUUAGCGGAGAAAUUCCAAUCGAACUCGGCAAUAGCUGGUUCUCCUCGAAAUAGCUUUAGGGCUAGCGUCGAACGCUGACUACUGGGGGUAGAGCACUGAAUGGGUUUGGAGCCUUCGGGUAUCCUACCUAACCAAACUCCGAAUACCAGUAGGAGAAGUUCGGCAGUCAGACUAUGGGGGCUAAGCUCCAUUAGUCAAAAGGGAAACAGCCCAGACCGCAGUUUAAGGUCCCAAAAUAUAUGCUAAGUGUAAAAGGUGGUGUCGCGACUGCGACAACUAGGAGGUUGGCUUAGAAGCAGCCAUCCUUUAAAGAUAGCGUAACAGCUCACUAGUCUAGUUGUCUCGCGCCGAAAAUUUAUCGGGGCUAAGCAUAUUACCGAAUACGCGGAUUGUCUGUGUUUACACAGACAGUGGUAGAGGAGCAUUUCAUGGGCGUUGAAGUCAAGUCGUGAGGCUUGGUGGAGCGCAUGGAAGCGAGAAUGUUGGCAUGAGUAGCAAAAAGGCGGGUGAGAACCCCGCCCACCGCAAGCCUAAGGGUUCCUGGGCAACGUAAAUCGACCCAGGGUUAGUCGGUCCUAAGACGAGGCCCGUGUAGUGCGGGCGUAGCCGAUGGAUGAGCUGGUUAAUAUUCCAGCACUACUGUUAGUUUCCGAUGGGGGGACGCAGUUUGAAUCUUUGAGCGUGUUUAUGGUAUGCACGUUGUUGGCCUAUUGGCGUAAUCUAGGUAAAUCCGGAUUACAUAAACCAAGAAGUUGACUGAAGAUGAGGCCUUUGGCUAAAUCAACUCAGAUUGAAAAAUUGCCCAGAAAAACCUCUAGGGCUAAACUAAUAGUAUCCGUACCGUAAACCGACACAGGUAGGCGAGGCGAGUAGCCUCAGGUGUACGAGAGAACCUUCGUUAAGGAACUCGGCAAAACAGCGGCCGUAAUUUCGAGAUAAGGCCUGCCCCGAGCAAUCGGGGCCGCAGCUAAAGAGCCCGGGUGACUGUUUAUCAAAAACACAGCUCUCUGCUAACUCGUAAGAGGAUGUAUAGAGGGUGACGUCUGGCCAGUGUCCGAACGUUAAGGGGAGGGGUUAUCCUUCGGGAGAAGCCUUGAACUGAAGCGCGGAUGAACGCCGGCCGUAAAUAUAACGGUCCUAAGGUAGCGAAAUUCCUUGUCGGGUAAGUUCCGACCUGCACGAAUGACGUAACAACUUGGGCACUGUCUCAACGAAGGACUCGGCGAAAUUACAAUACGAGUAAAGAUGCUCGUUAACCAUAGUCGGACGAAAAGACCCCGUGAAGCUUUACUAUAGCUUGAUAUUGGAUUAGGGGUACACAUGUUCAGUAUAGGUGGGAGACCUUCGGGUCACCAGUGAGAUACCACCCUUGUGUAGUUUUAAUUCUAACCUCAGUCCUUGAAUCAGGUCGAGGGACAGUAUCUGGUGGGUAGUUUGUCUGGGGCGGAUGCCUCCCAAAAAGUAACGGAGGCGUUUACAAAGGUUGGCUAUCCCGGAAUGGAAACCCGGGAGAUAGUGUAAAGGCAUAAGCCAGCUUUACUGCAAGACCAACAAGUCGAGCAGUUGCGAAAGCAGAACUUAGUGAUCCGACCGUCCAAUGUAGGAUGGCGGAAGCUCAUCGGAUAAAAGCUACUCCGGGGAUAACAGGCUAGUCACGCCCAAGCGUCCACAGCGACGGCGUGGUUCGGCACCUCGAUGUCGGCUCGUCGCAUCCUGGGGGUGAAGAAGCUCCCAAGGGUUGGGCUGUUCGCCCAUUAAAGCGGCACGCGAGCUGGGUUCAGACCGUCGUAAGACAGGUCGGUCUCCUAUCCACUAUGGUCGUGGAAACUUGAGAAGGCCGUUCCCUAGUACGAGAGGACCGGGAAUGACGAAGCUCUAGUGUACCGGCUGUCCCACCAGGGGCAUUGUCGGGUAGCUACCUUCGGUUUGGAUAAGCGCUGAAAGCAUAUAAGCGCGAAGCCGUCUUCAAGAUAAGGUUUCAUAGAGUCGCGGGAGACUACCGCGUUGAUAGGCUCUAGGUGUAAGCUCAGCAAUGGGUUUAGCCGAGGAGUACUAAUCACUCAUUUGAUUUUCCCAC